AGUAAUGUAUGGGGAUCUGCCUGAUGGCGGAGGAUAACUACUGGAAACGGUAGCUAAUACCGCAUAAUGUCUGCGGACCAAAGCGGGGGACCUCCGGGCCUCGCGCCAUCAGAUGAACCCAUAUGGGAUUAGCUAGUAGGUGGGGUAACGGCUCACCUAGGCGACGACCCCUAGCUGGUCUGAGAGGAUGACCAGCCACACUGGAACUGAGACACGGUCCAG
rnacentral:rRNA from 1 species